rnacentral:rRNA from 1 species
GAUGAACGCUGACAGAAUGCUUAACACAUGCAAGUCGACCGGAAUUUGGGUUUUUUAACUUAGAUUUGGGUGGCGGACGGGGGAGUAACGCGUAAAGAACUUGCCUCACAGCUAGGGACAGCAUUUGGAAACGAAUGCUAAUACCUGAUAUUAUGAUUAUAAGGCAUCUUAGAAUUAUGAAAGCUAUAUGCGCUGUGAGAGAGCUUUGCGUCCCAGUAGCUAGUUGGAGAGGUAACGGCUCACCAAGGCGAUGAUGGGUAGCCGGCCUGAGAGGGUGACCGGCCACAAGGGGACUGAGACACGGCCCUUACUCCUACGGGAGGCAGCAGUGGGGAAUAUUGGACAAUGGACCAAGAGUCUGAUCCAGCACUUCUGUGUGCACGAUGACGUUUUUCGGAAUGUAAAGUGCUUUCAGUUGGGAAGAAAAAAAUGACGGUACCAACAGAAGAAGUGACGGCUAACUACGUG